rnacentral:rRNA from 1 species
AUAAUAGUAAUGUUCUUGAAACCCAAAGAAUUUGGCGGUAUUUUAUACUUUUUAGAGGAACCUGUCCUGUAAUUGAUAGUCCACGAUGUUGAAAUACUUACCUUUGUUAUUCAUUUUGUAUACCUCCGUCAUCAGAGCAUCUUUUUAGAGAUAAUGUUCUAGUAGUACAAAAUAAUAUAUGUCAGGUCAAGGUGCAAUUUAUGGGUAAGUAGAGAUGGGUUACAAUAAAUUUAUUUAUACGAAUUGAUAUUUUUAUUAAUGUUAUGAAGGUGGAUUUAAAAGUAAAUUUAUUUUCUUAAUAGUUUGAUAGUAGCUCUAAAAUAUGCACACAUCGCCCGUCGCUCUUAUUUUAAAAUAAGAUAAGUCGUAACAUAGUAGGAGUACCGGAAGGUGUUCCUAGCAUG